ensembl:lncRNA
AUGUGUUCGAAAAGCGUGAGCUCAGUGUUUGGCCCGCGCCUACAAACCACCUCUCAGCCCCACCGAGCUCGAGGCGAGCUGCUACCGUGCUCUCACGCGCACUGCAAGUGUGACUCUGACGUCAGACGUGAUUCACAGUGCACGAGCUCCGGGCAGGCUCUGUUGACGGGAGCGAGCACAUUCUUCUCGAGCAAGUCCUGUGCAGCGCUGCUGACGAAUUCCGUAACCCGAAUGAAGCACGUUGAUGGGUGGAAGAGCCCAGCAUAAACAAAGGCAGGCUGAAGAGCAGUUGAGUUGAGGCCUUAUUUGGGCAGAGUGGAUCCAGGUGAGAUAGUUAUUUAAAGUCACUCUUAUUUUAUGACUGGUUUUGAACAUUAUUUAUUUUAGUAUAAAAAGUUGCUUCCUCUUUUUACUCUUAAACUUUCUUUCUUUCUUUCUCCUCUUCAGAAUCCCUGUGUAAGUUGUUGAAAUGUCACAGUUCUAUUGGUUCCUGGUGCCAAAUAGUGAAGGAGGAGGGAGUUCUCACUCCUACAUGUGUGUGUCCAAAGACCUGCCCACAGCAGGGGGCAGCAGUGUGCAGCGUUAUGGGGAAGACGUACAGCAACGAGUGUCUUCUUCACAAGGAGGCCUGCCGCAAAAAACGACGCAUUGGCAAGGCAUAUAGUGGAGCUUGUCUGGUGAGCGAGGCUGAAUGCUCUGAGAAAGAGUUCGGUCAGCUCCUGUACCGUCUGCUGGACUGGUUCUUACUCCUCAGCAGAAUGGGAGAGAGAUACACACCAGCCGCUCCCUCUCAAAGUUGCCUCACACACACGCAGCGAACCCAACUUGUAGAGAGAAGGUUCGUUCUGUUAAGCAGGAGAGAUCUGAAAAAGCUUCACUAUAAGCAGAUGCCACUGGAGCACUGCGCUCAAAGAUUCUUCCAGUAACACACACACAGAAAAAGACACUAGUGCCUAUAGACACACACAAUCACCUCGCCACUGUGAUUUUAUGAUGUUUUCUCCUGUCUGACCUUCUUUGUAUUUGCAUAAUAUUACUGCAAACCCUCCCCAGCACCCUUCUGAUUAUUGUACACAUGCCUUCAGGAUGUCACCCACCACUCUCUCUCUCAUCCUCUUUCAAUCUCUCUUCCCUCGCUCAUCCUCUCAAUCUCUCAAUCUCUCUCUCUCCCUCAUUCAAAGCUGUUGAUGCUUAUUGCCUUCCUACUGUUCUAAUGUGAGUGGUGUCCUUUACGGCUGAUAGCAGCCGAGAAAGACAUAGGGGGAUGUAGAAAUCAAAAACAAGAGAGACAAAGGCAAAGAGACUCCACUUGUAGAUUUCAACAGUAUGGUGUUUGUGUGUGCGCGCAUAGAUCAUGUGACAAGAACAAGAAUAAAAAGGUGACCCUGAGUGAGUGGACA